AUUGAACGCUGGCGGCAUGCUUUACACAUGCAAGUCGAACGGUAACAGGUUAAGCUGACGAGUGGCGAACGGGUGAGUAAUGCAUCGGAACGUGCCCGAUCGUGGGGGAUAACGCAGCGAAAGCUGCGCUAAUACCGCAUACGAUCUGAGGAUGAAAGCGGGGGACCGUAAGGCCUCGCGCGAUCGGAGCGGCCGAUGUCAGAUUAGGUAGUUGGUGGGGUAAAGGCUCACCAAGCCGACGAUCUGUAGCUGGUCUGAGAGGACGACCAGCCACACUGGGACUGAGACACGGCCCAGACUCCUACGGGAGGCAGCAGUGGGGAAUUUUGGACAAUGGGCGAAGGCCUGAUCCAGCAAUGCCGCGUGCAGGAAGAAGGCCUUCGGGUUGUAAACUGCUUUUGUAGGGAGCGAAAAGGCUCUCUCUAAUACAGGGGGCUCAUGACGGUACCGUAAGAAUAAGCACCGGCUAACUACGUGCCAGCAGCCGCCGCCGUAA
rnacentral:rRNA from 1 species